rnacentral:rRNA from 1 species
GAGGAAUAUUGCUCAAUGGGGGAAACCCUGAAGCAGCAACGCCGCGUGAGGGAUGAAGGCGCUCUGCGUUGUAAACCUCUGUAGUUGGGGACAAAUGUGGGGUUAUUACCCCAUUGAUGGUACCCAAAAAGUAAGGAUCGGCUAACUACGUGCCAGCAGCCGCGGUAAUACGUAGGAUCCGAGCGUUGUCCGGAUUUACUGGGUGUAAAGGGUGCGCAGGCGGACUGGUAAGUCAGUGGUGAAAUCUCGUCGCUUAACGACGAAACUGCCUUUGAUACUAUCAGUCUUGAGUCCGGUAGAGAUCUGUGGAAUUCCGAGUGUAGCAGUGAAAUGUGUAGAUAUUCGGGAGAACACCAGUGGCGAAGGCAGCAGAUUGGGCCGGUACUGACGCUCAUGCACGAAAGCGUGGGGAUCAAAC